rnacentral:rRNA from 1 species
GGCGUAAAGCGUGCGCAGGCGGUUAUGUAAGACAGAUGUGAAAUCCCCGGGCUCAACCUGGGAACUGCAUUUGUGACUGCAUGACUGGAGUGCGGCAGAGGGGGAUGGAAUUCCGCGUGUAGCAGUGAAAUGCGUAGAUAUGCGGAGGAACACCGAUGGCGAAGGCAAUCCCCUGGGCCUGCACUGACGCUCAUGCACGAAAGCGUGGGGAGCAAACAGGAUUAGAUACCCUGGUAGUCCACGCCCUAAACGAUGUCAACUGGUUGUUGGACGGCUUGCUGUUCAGUAACGAAGCUAACGCGUGAAGUUGACCGCCUGGGGAGUACGGCCGCAAGGUUGAAGCUCAAAGGAAUUGACGGGGACCCGCACAAGCGGUGGAUGAUGUGGUUUAGUUCGAUGCAACGCGAAAAACCUUACCUACCCUUGACAUGCCAGGAACUUGCCAGAGAUGGCUUGGUGCUCGAAAGAGAACCUGGACACAGGUGCUGCAUGGCCGUCGUCAGCUCGUGUCGUGAGAUGUUGGGUUAAGUCCCGCAACGAGCGCAACCCUUGUCAUUAGUUGCUACGAAAGGGCACUCUAAUGAGACUGCCA